rnacentral:lncRNA from 1 species
GAAACACCUCUUCAAAACAAAUUUGAAAGAAAAAGUCUAUAAAACCUAAAUCUAACCUAAUCUUCAAUCUCAUACCUUAGUCGCUCUCACCUCUCGCUCAUAGUCUCACGCUCAAAUGGAUAAACGACAUCGUGUAAUCGUGCAUCCUUGGCUCCUCCUUGCCUCCCUCUUCGUUCAUCACCUCCGCUAUACCUCCUCAUAUCAUCUUCGCCCUUCACUUUAGACUUUCUCCGCCUCCAAGCUUCAGAAUUUCACCAUCUGAAGUGAAGAACUUCGGCCAACACCGAAGAACUCAACAACAUUAGGCGAUUUCUUAUGAUUUCAGGUAAACAUACAUAAUUAGAUACACAUUUACUUUAAGUUUUAGUACAUAUUUAAUUUUCUUUUUGUGCUUUGAUUCUUAUAAGUACAAGAAGCAUAUGUUUCUUUUUGUAAUUUAACAAUCUUGUAAUUGUUUAUACUUCACAUAAACACUGCAAAUUUGUAUUUGUUUAUAUUUAAGUCAUUAGCAAACUAACAAUGGUGUAUAAAGUUUACUAUAUAAUGAGCUUACGAGAGGUUAUAAAUGUGUUUAAGUAUCUAAUUCUAUUUUUAUACCUGAUUAUUUCACAUUAUAGUUGUCUAUGUGUGUAAUUGUGUAUGUUUUUAACAAUAUGGCUCUAAUUAUAGUAUAUGUUUGUUGUUUUAGAAUGGCUACAAAUGAAGGUGUAAUAGAUGUGGACGAUCAAAAUGAUGAAGUUGAAGUCCCUGGAAGAAAAUAAGCCAAAGUUGAAGUCACUUGUUUGGCAACAUUUUCCAUAUAAGAAAUGUGCUAAAAAGUCAAAAUGCAAACAUUUUAAAAUGGUUUUAGCAUGUGGAACUAGAGUUAAUGGUACCUCUGAGUUAGUGAGUCAUCUAAAAAAUACUUGUGUAAGAUCCCCCUUUACAAAAAGAGAAAAAAUGAUUCAAAAAAUCAAUCAAUCUUAAACUUCAAGCCAAAGAGACAGAAGGGGGUGAGUCUUUAAUGAGAAGAUGAUGGGUUUAAAAAUUGGUAAGGUUUUCUUUAUAUGUUUGAGUUCAUAUUUCAAAUAUACUUUUAUAUAUAUAUAUAUAUAUAUAUAUAUNNNNNNNNNNNNNNNNNNNNNNNNNNNNNNUAGGAAACACUAGUGGAAAUGAUGGAUUUUUGGGUAAGUUGUGGAUUUUGGCUAGUGAUGUCUAUUGUUUGAUCGAUAAUUGGAAAGUGAAAAACUGAAAAAACUUUAUAUUUGUUUUUAUUUAAUCUGUUGCAAGUUUAUGGAUUUUAGGCCAAUCUAGUGGCUAAUGUUGUAUGCUUGUUUAAACUUGUAAUUUCCUACUUUGACUUGUUGCAAUUUAUGUCAUUUAAAUGGCUAUUGGCCUACUGCAUAUGAUAUUAUUGGCUCUUAAGAUGAUAAAUGAAUAUGGUUAUUUACUUAUUUCAAACAGUUGAAUUUUGCUAGUUUUGGGCAAUUUUAGUAAUUUAUGGUUUAAAACCGAAAUCGCACCAUUACAAACCGCAACCGCAAAAACCAUACCGCAAUAAACUGCACUUUGCAGUUUUACACAAAUAAAACUGCAUCAGUACCAUACUGCACCAUGCUCACCCCUACUUUUUUUAAGUAGUUUUAUAAUUGUAUAAAUUUUAUUUGGUUCUAUAUUGAUCUCUCGUCAGACUAUGUGNUUAAAGUAUAUAUAUAAAUAUAUAUUUGUUUAUUUAUUUACAAUUGGAGAAAUGAAUUAGAGUGGAAAUCUGGAAAAAAAUGGGACAGUGGGGGAAAACGAAACACCUCUUCAAAACAAAUUUGAAAGAAAAAGUCUAUAAAACCUAAAUCUAACCUAAUCUUCAAUCUCAUACCUUAGUCGCUCUCACCUCUCGCUCAUAGUCUCACGCUCAAAUGGAUAAACGACAUCGUGUAAUCGUGCAUCCUUGGCUCCUCCUUGCCUCCCUCUUCGUUCAUCACCUCCGCUAUACCUCCUCAUAUCAUCUUCGCCCUUCACUUUAGACUUUCUCCGCCUCCAAGCUUCAGAAUUUCACCAUCUGAAGUGAAGAACUUCGGCCAACACCGAAGAACUCAACAACAUUAGGCGAUUUCUUAUGAUUUCAGGUAAACAUACAUAAUUAGAUACACAUUUACUUUAAGUUUUAGUACAUAUUUAAUUUUCUUUUUGUGCUUUGAUUCUUAUAAGUACAAGAAGCAUAUGUUUCUUUUUGUAAUUUAACAAUCUUGUAAUUGUUUAUACUUCACAUAAACACUGCAAAUUUGUAUUUGUUUAUAUUUAAGUCAUUAGCAAACUAACAAUGGUGUAUAAAGUUUACUAUAUAAUGAGCUUACGAGAGGUUAUAAAUGUGUUUAAGUAUCUAAUUCUAUUUUUAUACCUGAUUAUUUCACAUUAUAGUUGUCUAUGUGUGUAAUUGUGUAUGUUUUUAACAAUAUGGCUCUAAUUAUAGUAUAUGUUUGUUGUUUUAGAAUGGCUACAAAUGAAGGUGUAAUAGAUGUGGACGAUCAAAAUGAUGAAGUUGAAGUCCCUGGAAGAAAAUAAGCCAAAGUUGAAGUCACUUGUUUGGCAACAUUUUCCAUAUAAGAAAUGUGCUAAAAAGUCAAAAUGCAAACAUUUUAAAAUGGUUUUAGCAUGUGGAACUAGAGUUAAUGGUACCUCUGAGUUAGUGAGUCAUCUAAAAAAUACUUGUGUAAGAUCCCCCUUUACAAAAAGAGAAAAAAUGAUUCAAAAAAUCAAUCAAUCUUAAACUUCAAGCCAAAGAGACAGAAGGGGGUGAGUCUUUAAUGAGAAGAUGAUGGGUUUAAAAAUUGGUAAGGUUUUCUUUAUAUGUUUGAGUUCAUAUUUCAAAUAUACUUUUAUAUAUAUAUAUAUAUAUAUAUAUAUAUAUAUAUAUAU